UUUUUUUUUUUUUUAGACAAACUCAGGCUGGAGGGCAGUUGCACAAUCUCAGCCCACUGCAACCUCUGCCUCUUGGGUUCAAGCGAUUCUCCUGCCUCAGCCUCCCAAGUAGCUGGGAUUUCAGGCUAUACCACCAUGACCAGCUAACUUUUGUAUUUUUAGUACAGUCGGGGUUUCACCAUGUUGGCCAGGCUGGACUCAAAGUCCUGAUUUCAGGUGAUCCACCCGCCUCAGCCUCCCAAAUAACUAGGACAGGCAGGCAUGAGCUACUGAAUUCAGCUCAGAUUUUUCGUAUUUUAACACAAAUCAGAUUAGGUAUUAGCUCUCAACUGAAUUACUCCAAAUAAUUCAUCUAUCAAAAAAUGCAAACUUAAAAUUAAGCUAGGAGGACAGUUUGAGUAGUUUUAAAAUAUACAUACUUACUCAUGUGUUCAAUAAUUAAACAUAAUUGAGUUCUUCAUUUUAUUAUAGAUACAUCUAGUUUUACCAGCCAAUAAUCUUUUAUAUUUUAGAAUUUGUUGGUGAUCCUUUAACUAACAGAAGACCAGGGAAUGAAUAACAGUUGGCAGGACAACAAAAUAAUCUGAAAUAGCACAGUUUGGGUUACUUGUAGAGUUGCUUCUGUUCCCUCUUGCUUUAUCCUUGAUACAAGAGAACAAUCAUUUCAUAUUCAUUUAGAAACUGUGUCAUGAUUUUAACUAUCCUCCUGCUGUCAGAGGCAUUCAAACCAGAGUGACUCCAUCUUGAGCAUGGGCUGGGUAAAAUAUUUUACUCCCUUCAUAUCCCUGUGUCAUCAACCUAUAAAACUUUUAAGGUCUGGCCAUGUAUUCCCUUCCUUGGUGCCCCACCUUCCUCAUGAAGUGUGUCAGGGUAAAGAAAACUUUUCUUUUUGCUUGUACUUGUUGCCAAAUCUCACAAGACAGUUGAGAUAGGGCCAAUAUGAGUAAUUUCAUAAUUCUCAACUACUGCAGGCUUUCUUUCUUACACAUCCUGGAAUUUUUUUUGCCCUGAGAUGUGGCCAAAAAAAUAAAAUCAAUUUCUCAUAGGCUGCCUCAAAGCUUGGCUACAUUUUGAUAAGCAUCUCUCAUCACUUUCUCUGCCAGAUAUCAUUAAUAAACCUAUUUUAAUUUCUAAUCCUAUGCUUUUCAGAAACAGACACAUAACUUCCCUGGACCUCUCAUGUCACUAGAGAGCUGCAGUCUAGGUGAGGGCUCUUAAUUCCUAAGGGAAGCUAGAAAUCUCUUGUAAUAGUGAACAAAAUGUUAUGAGAUGAGAGCAUUGGGUCAUUCUAAGACAAAGGUGGCACUACAUGAGGCCACUGAGAAUUUUAUUUGAAUUAGAGAAUCCACAUGAAACCCCAUGAUGUAGCAUGUAUUUGCUUCAGUCAACACCUACCUUAUCUAGGUCCAAUAAAAGCAUCAGAGCUUAAACGUAUGUACAAUGAAAUUCCUAGGGCUUCAGCCUCACUUCUUUGGUUUGCCAGUAAAAAACAAAAACUGACAAUCCAGCUUGAUAGACGAUGAUUACAUCCUCGAGGAGCAGUUUCUAGCCUGCUAUUAGCACCCCUGCACCUGGCACUGGCAAUUCUUGAGACCCCAUAGCAUCAUCAAGGAUGACAAUGAUUGGGAAAUGAUUCAGAAGAGUGUCUGAUGCUCCACCACCCAGAUUGCUUUUGGCCUAGUCAUGUGGAAAGAGAGUAUUAUUUUCCAGGACAACAUACUGGUUGACAAUUUCAUCUCACAAAGAAAGGCAGCUAAUAUCACUGUCCUCUUUGCCAUCUCUGACACAAUGGGCAGGCAAAAAUUAUCCAAAGAAGAGCUGGUAGUACCAACAGACAGGUUCUUAACUUCCUGUGCCAAUGUUCCUCAAUGGUGACAUGGAGCCACUAAUACUACUGAUUUCCUAAGUUUAAGACGAAAUACAAAGUUCUUAGGAAUGCUAGAAAUAUUCCACAUAUUGAUCUAACUGUGAGUUUAUAACAACAGUGUAUUUGCCAAAAUUCAUGGAGCUGUUUAUGAAAGGUUUUAUAAAAUAAUACUUUUGGGGAAAAGUCAUCUACAAAAUACAUCUGGUAAACAGAAACAUGCAUGCAUAGUAAAUGUACGGCUCAAUGAAUUACAAGGCGAACAUCUAUCUCUGAAGUAUACCUACAAAAAGAACAUCACUUAUCGACACCAUAAAAACCCUCUUUGUAAACAUCCCUUCAAGGCAUCUAUAAUGAUAGUUUUACCAUUUAAACUUUCUAUACAUGGAAUCAUACAGUAUGUACCAUUUUGUAUCUGACUUCCUCAGCUCAUUAGUCUGAGACUAACCACAUUAUCAAUCUUCAUGAAUAUGAUGCAGGAGGGGUGGCGGGGAAGUGCUGGGUAGAGAAAGUCGGGGUCCCUGGUGAGGGCUCCACCUUCAGGCCUGUGCCCAUGAAUCCAGGUGAGGACCAGCA
rnacentral:lncRNA from 1 species